rnacentral:rRNA from 1 species
AUUGAACGCUGGCGGCAUGCUUUACACAUGCAAGUCGAACGGUAACAGGCCGCAAGGUGCUGACGAGUGGCGAACGGGUGAGUAAUGCAUCGGAACGUGCCCAGUCGUGGGGGAUAACGCAGCGAAAGCUGCGCUAAUACCGCAUACGAUCUAUGGAUGAAAGCGGGGGACCGUAAGGCCUCGCGCGAUUGGAGCGGCCGAUGUCAGAUUAGGUAGUUGGUGGGGUAAAGGCUCACCAAGCCAACGAUCUGUAGCUGGUCUGAGAGGACGAACAGCCACACUGGGACUGAGACACGGCCCAGACUCCUACGGUAGGCAGCAGUGGGGAAUUUUGGACAAUGGGCGCAAGCCUGAUCCAGCAAUGCCGCGUGCAGGAAGAAGGCCUUCGGGUUGUAAACUGCUUUUGUACGGAACGAAACGGUCCUGGUUAAUACCCGGGGCUAAUGACGGUACCGUAAGAAUAAGCACCGGCUAACUACGUGCCAGCCGCCGCCGUAACAC